GGGUUGGGGUGAAGGUGAGAGAAGGGAUGACAGCGCAUGAAAGACCUGGUUCAGCUGCAGGAGAAGAACGUACAAGUAUUUCUUCCCUAAAGGAGACCUUAAUAUACUGCUCAUGGAAGAAGCUGGCAAAAAAUUGAUUGGCGAAUAUGACUUCUGCAACUUCUGCAAAUUCAGUGUUAAAGAUGGC